rnacentral:rRNA from 1 species
UACGAAGGGGGCUAGCGUUGCUCGGAAUCACUGGGCGUAAAGCGCACGUAGGCGGCUUUCUAAGUCAGGGGUGAAAUCCUGGAGCUCAACUCCAGAACUGCCUUUGAUACUGGAGAGCUUGAGUCCGGGAGAGGUGAGUGGAACUCCGAGUGUAGAGGUGAAAUUCGUAGAUAUUCGGAAGAACACCGGUGGCGAAGGCGGUUCUCUGGGCCUUACCUGACGCUGAGGAGCGAAAGCGUGGGGAGCGAACAGG